AACAAAGAAAAUUAAUUCAAAGAAGUGAAAAACAUGGGGAGCAAGAGAAUGAUAUGUUUGGUAAUGCUUAUCUUUGCCAUGUUUGUGCUUGCCCAAAGUGUGUGCCAAGACGAGUGCGUUGCUCUUUGUCUACGCGACGUCCCUGGUCGCAAGCAUGGCUGUCAAUUAGCCUGUGAAACAGCUUGUAGAGAUCUUCCUCAUCCAUAAAUUUAUUGCAAUUAUUAUAAUUAUUAACCCUCAUUCUUCAUCGAUCCUCUUUAGAUACAUAUUUUUUCAAGAGAGAUUCAAAUUUAAUAUGAAAAUCAUGUAUUAAUCAAUUAGUCAAUUACUUUGUGAGUUAAUUAUUGUUUAGAAUUUAAGAGUUUAGAAAUGUCCUUGUAUUUUUUGUAUAUAUUUUUCUGGAUAUUUUGAUUUUAGAAAAAUGAAAAAAAAGAAAAAUAUUGUUUUUACUUUUGUUGGAAUGGCAUAUCGAGAAAAUGAUAGAUGGAAAAUGUAGUUUUAUCAGCAUUUGGACCCACGUCUAAAUAGUAAUGUUAAUUCUUA
rnacentral:lncRNA from 1 species